GCAGACACAUUCCAGCCAAUCAGCAGCAGACCCUCCCUCCCAGACUCUCCCACCCCCUGGACAGCAUCCAUUUUGAAGCUGUAUUCUUAGUGAGCUGUCCAGGAGGUGGGAGGGUCUGGGAGGGAGGGUCUGCUGCUGAUUGGCUGGAAUGUGUCUG